rnacentral:lncRNA from 1 species
AGCUGCCCCUGGAUCCCAGCACCCUCAGUGCUUUGUUCUCCUCCCUGGGCGCCCCCCCGCCCAGACUAUCCCCACCGCCGGGCCGCCAGCCUGGCUGCUGUCUCUCCGGGAGCCGCUGCCAAGCCGUCAGCUCCUUUCAUCGCCCCAAGGCAGCCAGAGGGAGCGCCAGCAGCAGCCUUGGCACACGCCCGCCUCCGGCCACUCCCGGCGUGUUCUCAGACACAGACGCCAGCCCAGCGGGGCGGGCACCCAGCUCCGAGCCCACGGCUGCAACAAGGAAGGGUCACUGGGGGACCCAGCCCCCUCAUUACACGUCAGGAAACCUGGGCUGGGGAUCAGCCAGGCCUCCUUUGAAACUGUCUAGCCAAAUCAGCCCGUCAGAGUGGCGAUCAGAUGUCCAUGGGAGGCGGUUCCCUCUGCUGGAAUGUUCUCCAUCCCGCCCCCACCGGCCAGCCCCUCAGGGCUCAGUGAGGGCAGGCCCUUCCUCAGAGGCCCUGACCUUCACCCAGGGCCAAGCUCCCUCUUAGCACUCAUAGCACCCAGCCCAGGCGCCUGGCUGUCAGCCCAGAUGGGCACCUAAGCUAAGGAAGCUUUGGGGAGGGACGGGGGACCUUGCAGGGCUCCCCGGUCGGUCCACUUGGUGGUCCUGCUCCUCCCGACAUGUGGGCACAGGCUGGCCUUCCAGGACUUCCGUGUUUGGCUCCUGGAGGCAGGACCUCUGUCCCCAUCCUGACUCCAGGCACCCAGAGGCAGCCAAGAGCUGGGCAGGGGGCUACCCAACUCCACAGAGAUGCCCGUGGCCUCAGGAAACUCUGUCCCACACCCUUGGCUUUGAGGUGAGGAUAAGAGAGCCCAGCCCUGGCUCCAGGAUCACCUCCAUCGAGUCCGUCCUGGUUCUCUGAGCCUUCACUUCCUCCUCUGCCAAACGGAUUCUGAUUCUUCCUGGUCAGGCUGCUGACAGGAUCGAUGUGCCUAUCUCCCAGGGCUGCUGGCAGGAUUAGAUAGGUUGCCCUUCGAACAGUCACCUGGAAGCAGGGGGAGGAGCCUGUUCAUGUUGGGCGUUGACCAACAAGAACCAGCAAGAGAGAUGAAGAUGGAUCUGCCCUCGCACAGCUACAGCAGACUCGCACACUCGGAGGCAACAUGUGACGUGGAGAGACACACUUUAUGUCCAUGUUGUUGGGGGAGCAGCCUGUGCCGUCCCUCGGUGAGCUGGCAUCCUCCUGGCCCUGCUGAGCAGCGAGAGCCACAGCACCUACAGGAGCCCCAGGGUCCUGAGGGAACCGCCUUGAGCCUCAGUCUCCUCAUCUGUAAACCGAGGCUGAUGACUCCAGGCCCAUGUCACAGGACCGCAGAGAGAAAUGCCCGACAUUGGGACUGUGGGGUCACAGGAACGUGGCACUUGCACACCUCCAGUGCUGCAGAAGACAGAGGGUCAGUGUCCACUAGCGGCUUCCAUUGCCAAGGCCCUAAGACACCAUGAA